rnacentral:rRNA from 1 species
CAGCAGCCGCGGGAAUACGAAGGGUGCAAGCGUUAAUCGGAAUUACUGGGCGUAAAGCGCGCGCAGGCGGUGUUGUAAGACUGAUGUGAAAUCCCCGGGCUCAACCUGGGAACUGCAUUGGUGACUGCAACGCUGGAGUGCGGCAGAGGGGGAUGGAAUUCCGCGUGUAGCAGUGAAAUGCGUAGAUAUGCGGAGGAACACCGGUGGCGAAGGCGAUCCCCUGGGCCUGCACUGACGCUCAUGCACGAAAGCGUGGGGAGCAAACAGGAUUAGAUACCCGCGUAGUCCCUGUCUCUUAUAC